CAACCUGGGAACUGCAUUGGUGACUGGCAGGCUAGAGUAUGGCAGAGGGGGGUAGAAUUCCACGUGUAGCAGUGAAAUGCGUAGAGAUGUGGAGGAAUACCGAUGGCGAAGGCAGCCCCCUGGGCCAAUAAAGACGCUCAUGCACGAAAGCGUGGGGAGCAAACAGGAUUAGAUACCCUGGUAGUCCACGCCCUAAACGAUGUCAACUAGUUGUUGGGGAUUCAUUUCCUUAGUAACGUAGCUAACGCGUGAAGUUGACCGCCUGGGGAGUACGGUCGCAAGAUUAAAACUCAAAGGAAUUGACGGGGACCCGCACAAGCGGUGGAUGAUGUGGAUUAAUUCGAUGCAACGCGAAAAACCUUACCUACCCUUG
rnacentral:rRNA from 2 species